AUGAAUAUUGUCUUCUCCUCAGGGGAAACCAUACAUGAUAAGGCUCGUAUCUGGCGAACACGACACGCUCUUCUGUCAGGACUUCAUGACAAACUCCUCACAGGUUCGGAUGGACACCUGUAUAGACACGCCUCUUCUGAUGUUUUCUACGAUGACGAUAAUGACAUGAAACCUGUGCACGAGACUCAAACGUCCCAUACGAACGUCUUCGCUGAAGGUAAAGCGCACCUGCAGGUCACGAGUGCAGACGGCAGUCCUCUGAGCUCCCCACGCCAUCACAUGCAUCCUAUCGCAUCGAGCCGCUGGACUGCAUUUCACCAGUCAGAGGCGAUGGCACUUCCUGCCAAACCAGACAACAGACUUCCUGCCGUGUCCGUGCAGCCGCGUGUCACUUCCUGUCAGGGCGCGGCGUCACACGUGCCAUCCAAGAGCUUCGGAGCGGAGCAGCAUCCAGACUGGCCCACAGAGAAGUGGCAAAUAUGGCAACUCCUGUCAUCAGACAGCAUAGACACACUUCCAGAGACUAUGGUGUGAAACACGCAGAUUAAAGGGACAGUUCACCCAAAAAUUAACUUACUGUCAUCAAAGGAAGAUAUUUGAAGGACACCAUUGGCUUUCAUUGAAUGAGACAUUUUUCCAGAUAUUUUCUUUUAUUAAAGACAUACAGGUUUGGAAUGAGUGAAGGAUGACAGAAUGAUCAUUUUUGAGUGAACUGUCCCUUUAAGAACCUUUUAAUUUGAGAGUCAAUUUUUUGUUGAAUUGGACGCAACACACAGAAUGUUGAAUUAGAAUUUGAAUUGGAAAGAGAGGAAGCACCACAAAAUGUUAGCGCAUUGUUUGCAUAUAGUUUUAUAAAAAAUAAUUAUUGAUAUUAAAAUUUUGGAUGAAUAUUUUAAUGUUUCACAUUUACGUUUGGGGUCAUUAUGAUUUUUUAUUUUAUUAUUUUUUUUAUUUAUCUAGGAUUCAUUAAAUUCUUCAAAAGUGACAGUUAACACAUUUGUAAUGUUACAAAAGAUUUUUAUAUUUCAAGUAAAUGCUGCUCUUUUGAACUUUCAAUUCAUCUGUGAAUCCUGAAAAUGAAUUUUUUUCAGUUAUAUCACAGUUUCACAGUUUAUCACAGUUUCUACAAAAAUAUAAAAUCUUUUCAGAAUUAAUAAUAAUCAGGAAUGUUUCUCAAGCAGCAAAUCAGCAUAUUUUCAUGAUUUCUGAAGAUCAUGUGACUCUGAAGACUGGAGUAAUGAUGCUGGAAAUACAGCUGCACAUCACAGAAAUAAAUUACAGUUUAACAGAGAUUCA
ensembl:lncRNA